UGUCAGAGUGAACGCUAGCGGCAGGCCUAACACAUGCAAGUCGAGCGGAUGAAGGGAGCUUGCUCCUGGAUUCAGCGGCGGACGGGUGAGUAAUGCAUAGGAAUGUGCCUGGUAGUGGGGGAUAACGUCCGGAAACGGUCGCUAAUACCGCAUACGUCCUGAGGGAGAAAGCGGGGGAUCUUCGGACCUCACGCUAUCAGAUGAGCCUAGGUCGGAUUAGCUAGUUGGUGGGGUAAAGGCUUACCAAGGCGACGAUCCGUAGCUGGUCUGAGAGGAUGAUCAGUCACACUGGAACUGAGACACGGUCCAGACUCCUACGGGAGGCAGCAGUGGGGAAUAUUGGACAAUGGGCGAAAGCCUGAUCCAGCCAUGCCGCGUGUGUGAAGAAGGUCUUCGGAUUGUAAAGCACUUUAAGUUGGGAGGAAGGGCAGUAAGUUAAUACCUUGCUGUUUUGACGUUACCAACAGAAUAAGCACCGGCUAACUUCGUGCCAGCAGCCGCGGUAAUACGAAGGGUGCAAGCGUUAAUCGGAAUUACUGGGCGUAAAGCGCGCGUAGGUGGUUCAGCAAGUUGGAUGUGAAAUCCCCGGGCUCAACUUGGGAACUGCAUCCAAAACUACUGAGCUAGAGUACGGUAGAGGGUGGUGGAAUUUCCUGUGUAGCGGUGAAAUGCGUAGAUAUAGGAAGGAACACCAGUGGCGAAGG
rnacentral:rRNA from 1 species